rnacentral:rRNA from 1 species
GUCUUUUAAUUGAAGGCUGGUAUGAAUGGUUGGAUGAAAAAUAUACUUUCUUUAUUUUAUAAAAAUAAAUUAACUUUUUAGUCAAAAGGCUAAGAUUUUAUUAGAGGACGAGAAGACCCUAUAGAACUUUAUUUUCUUUUUAUAUAACUUUUUUAGUUUUUAAUAAGUUUAUAUAUUUAUGUUAAUUAUGUUGGGGUGACAGAAAAAAUAAUAUAACUUUUUCUAUUUUUUUCAUUUAUUUAUGUUUUUUUGAUCCUACAUUAUGGAUAAUAAGAUUAAGUUACCUUAGGGAUAACAGCGUUAUUUUCUUAAAGAGUUCUUAUCGAUAAGAAAGUUUGCGACCUCGAUGUUGGAUUAAAAUAAGUGAUAGGAGCAGAAUAUUAUUUACUAGGUCUGUUCGACCUUUGAAUUUUUACAUGAUCUAGUUUCAACCCGG